CGCGGGGUGGAGCAGCCUGGUAGCUCGUCGGGCUCAUAACCCGAAGAUCGUCGGUUCAAAUCCGGCCCCCGCAACCAM
rnacentral:tRNA from 1 species